rnacentral:lncRNA from 1 species
CCAGAAUCACAGGAACCAUGGGAGGGCUCAAGGCUAUCAACGCAACUGGGGAUUCAGGUCAAGCGUAGUGAGAUCUCUAAGGGGAAGGAAAGCCUCGGGUGAUAUCCAGGUGACACUACUGUAUGUGCAGUUAUGACACAGGGUACAAGAGCUGUGUUAGAGGACAGUGUGAGACCACAUGAACAGAGUGUACAUGAUAUGUACACCUGGGACCAGGGUAUGGUGGAAUGCCUCCUUCCUCACUUAGGGAAAGUUCUUUGGUCUCCACCAUCUCUAAUAGUUGGUCAUCCAGGCUCCACUUUGAUUCCAGCAACACUGAUUUCCAGUGGCAAGGAGGUGACUACUACAACACAACAACAGCUCUGGAAUGAAGCUCUUCUCUGGGCUGUGCACAAACCUCCCUGUCAUUUGCUCAUUGGUCCACUUCUGACCCCAGAAGCCAAAAUUUGGCAACAGAAUAUACUGAAGAGGAUGAGAUGAA